rnacentral:rRNA from 1 species
CCGGCACGGGUGAGUAACACGUAUGCAAUCCACCUGUAACAGGGGAGUAACCGGAGAAAUCCGACUAAUACCCAUAAUAUGGGCGCUCCGCAUGGAGAGCCCAUUAAAGAGAGCAAUUUUGGUUUACAGACGAGCAUGCGCUCCAUUAGCCAGUUGGCGGGGUAACGGCCCACCAAAGCGACGAUGGAUAGGGGUUCUGAGAGGAAGGUCCCCCACAUUGGAACUGAGACACGGUCCAA